UACGUAGGGUGCAAGCGUUAAUCGGAAUUACUGGGCGUAAAGCGUGCGCAGGCGGUUUUGUAAGUCUGUCGUGAAAUCCCCGGACUCAACCUGGGAAUGGCGAUGGAGACUGCAAGGCUAGAGUUUGGCAGAGGGGGGUAGAAUUCCACGUGUAGCAGUGAAAUGCGUAGAUAUGUGGAGGAACACCGAUGGCGAAGGCAGCCCCCUGGGUCAAAACUGACGCUCAUGCACGAAAGCGUGGGGAGCAAACAGG
rnacentral:rRNA from 1 species